CCCCAGCGGGCCAGGGAACCCGCCAGAGCGGGCGAAGGGCGAGCGCAGCGCAGCCAGGAGGCGGCCAGCUGGCAGGGUUGGCUGAACAGUGCCAGCAACGUUACUCCGCUGCUGCCGAAUCAACUGGGCCAACCGGGGGGAGCCAGAUCAAUCUGAGUUGGGAUGGACAGCAGUGUGAACCAGAGAAAGAGAGAAGUUAGCCCUCUAGUGGUUCAGCUCAUAGGAUAAGAGACCUACUACUGCUAUCGGGUGCAGAGAGAGACAGCCUGAACCUUACGGAAGCAUCAUGUCAUACCCCUGCAAUCCCCCUCCCUACAGUGACAAGAACCCCCUCAUCCCGCUGCAGCCUGAG